rnacentral:rRNA from 1 species
GGGGAAUUGUUCGCAAUGGGCGCAAGCCUGACGACGCAACGCCGCGUGGAGGAUGAAGAUCUUCGGGUCGUAAACUCCUUUCGAUCGAGACGCAUGGCCUCCGGGUGAACAAUCCGGAGGAAUGACGGUACCGAGAGACGAAGCCCCGGCUAACUCCGUGCCAGCAGCCGCGGGAAUACGGGGGGGGGCAAGCGUUGUUCGGAAUUACUGGGCGUAAAGGGCUCGUAGGCGGCCAACUAAGUCACACGUGAAAUCCCUCGGCUCAACCGGGGAACUGCGUGUGAUACUGGAUGGCUUGAGUCCGGGAGAGGGAUGCGGAAUUCCAGGUGUAGCGGUGAAAUGCGUAGAUAUCUGGAGGAACACCGGUGGCGAAGGCGGCAUCCUGGACCGGCACUGACGCUGAUGAGCGAAAGCCAGGGGAGCAA